rnacentral:pre_miRNA from 9 species
UCUCGAUAGCGUAAAAGUUAACUUAAAUUUGUAUGAGUUGGAACGUUUGCAUAUGUUUGCCACUAGGGGCGCUCUUUCGACUGCAUACAAAUUUAAGUUAACUUUUACUCUAUCGA